rnacentral:rRNA from 1 species
AUUAGUUUUUUAAUUGAAGGCUAGAAUGAAUGGUUGGACAAGAAAUAAUCUGUCUUAAUUAAAUAUAUUGAAUUUAACUUUUAAGUGAAAAGGCUUAGAUAAUCUGAAGGGACGAUAAGACCCUAUAAAACUUUAUAUUUAUGAAUGAUAGUUAAUUUUGUUUUGGAAUAUUAUUUUAAAAUAUUUAGUUGGGGUGACAAGGAUAAAAUAUGAAAUAACUGUCUUUUUUUUUUUACAGUGAUAUUUGGUUUAAUGAUCCUAAAGUGGAUUAUAAGAUUAAGUUACUUUAGGGAUAACAGCGUAAUUUUCUUUGAGAGUUCUUAUCGACAAGAAAGUUUGCGACCUCGAUGUUGAAUUAAAGGUUCUUUAUAGAGUAGAGACUAUAAUAGAAGGUCUGUUCGACCUUUAAAAUUUUACAUGAUUUGA